CACUCUAGACUCACUCACAUUUGAAUGAUUCCAAAUCAACACUUACUAGCCUUUCACACUUCUUCAAGAUUGGACAAGUAUCAGCUAUAUGGUGUCAUUCCUAAGUGCUGCGUGAAGACAUCUAUGGACAUUCCCACCAAUUUGCUGAGGAGAGGAGAGCAGACAUGCAGUUGAGCAAUGGUGUCUACUGCAUGUGAAAGGGAAGAAGCUAUGUGCCCAACCCAAGAUCAAGAGAAAGCUGAAGAGGCUCCAGAGGAAAGAGCAGAAAAGGCCUUAGUGCUCUGUGGAGGGAGGGAACUCGUUAAUGUGCGGCAGCUUGACUUUUCUGGCAUGUAUUUUUAUACUUUGUACUUGCUUAUUAUGAAGUGUUCUGGAGGAGUUUCUUAAUUGCAUUAGUAUGUUAUGUGUGUUAGGCAGAAAUCUGUGGUGCAUGUGUGCUUAAAGCUACUUGUAAUCCAUCAACUAAUCAAUGUCAUUCAUGAAAUUGUUUCCCAUGUAAUAAAACGUGUAAUAUAAUCAA